rnacentral:rRNA from 1 species
CCCUACGGGACGCAGCAGUGGGGAAUAUUGCACAAUGGGGGAAACCCUGAUGCAGCGACGCCGCGUGAGUGAAGAAGUAAUUCGUUAUGUAAAGCUCUAUCAGCAGGGAAGAAAAUGACGGUACCUGAGUAAGAAGCCCCGGCUAACUACGUGCCAGCAGCCGCGGUAAUACGUAGGGGGCAAGCGUUAUCCGGAUUUACUGGGUGAAAAGGGAGCGUAGACGGCAGUGCAAGUCUGGAGUGAAAGGCGGGG